rnacentral:rRNA from 1 species
CAGUCGCCGCGGUAAUACGGAGGGUGCAAGCGUUAAUCGGAAUUACUGGGCGUAAAGCGCACGCAGGCGGUCUGACAAGUCAGAUGUGAAAUCCCCGGGCUUAACCUGGGAACUGCAUUUGAAACUGUCAGGCUGGAGUCUUGUAGAGGGGGGUGGAAUUCCAGGUGUAGCGGUGAAAUGCGUAGAGAUCUGGAGGAAUACCGGUGGCGAAGGCGGCCCCCUGGACAAAGACUGACGCUCAGGUGCGAAAGCGUGGGGAGCAAACAGGAUUAGAUACCCCAGUAGUUCCUGUCUCUUAUAC